AAUGCACGACGACCCGGGAUACAACCCCAACCCGAGAGAAAUUAAGAUACCACGCAAUGUUUCCUGUAUAUGCGUAUCACGGUCUUCCCCCCUGAUAAGCUUGUAUGCUAUCGAUCCUGAUAGUUGGAAUUGCACUGAUUGCCUAAAAAACCCCUUUCCCUGUCGUGAAUUCAAAGUUGUAGGAAUAAAUUUUAUGAGCGGUCGAGGAUAUAUGCGACGGAAAUUUUAAUCGACUGAUAAUCGUGUUCACCGAUUCCUUCAUCCGCCCCAUUCCAGUUUUGGCUCCAAAUUUGCUGUUUGCGCAUUAUACAAUUGGGUAUCUCUAAUUUCACGCGGUUGUCGAUGGCUAAUGAAGAAAGUUCCCGAACGGUUGCAUGUCCGAAUAAUGACUUGACAACCGUGUUGCUCUUGCUUGAGGAAAUAAUUCGGAACUACCAAACUAACUUGUUACACAUCUCGUUUAUGAUCACAAUGUUAUGCCCACAAAACCGCAAGCGUAAAAGUUGGGAUCGUCUAGGUCAGUCUGUGGUUUUAGACUCUAUUCCGGCUCAUGUUCGUCAUCUGGAUAGACUAUUUCGAGAAUCAGAUAGGACAUGUGUGUAUAACUUAAGAAUGGACAAAAACCAUCAUACAUUGUGGCUUGAAACAAGGGCGUUGUAUGCAAUUACAUACCUGAUGUCUUAUAAUUUAGUGGUAAAAAGUUUCCCAGUUGAAUUUGCAGAAUUGUGUUUGUGUUGCAGCAUUUAGCCUUCCUCGGCGAAGAGCAAAAAAGACUGGCGCGAGAAUAAAAAUUUGAGCGCCUUUUAUGAUUUGUUAUGGAUGGUGUUAGGUUUUGAAGGACAAAAUUGGAUAUAUACAAAUUGUAUGAGGGCAAA